rnacentral:rRNA from 1 species
GUGCGUAACACGUAGGUAAUUUACCUUCCGGCGGGGGACAACAGUCCGAAAGGACUGCUAAUACCGCAUACGUCGGCGAGAUCCCCGGAUCUUGUCGGGAAAGAUGGCCUCUCCUUGGAAGCUGUCACCGGAAGAUGAGCCUGCGGCCCAUCAGCUAGUUGGCGAGGUAACGGCUCACCAAGGCGAAGACGGGUAGCUGGUCUGAGAGGAUGAUCAGCCACACUGGGACUGCGACACGGCCCAGACUCCUACGGGAGCAGCAGUGGGGAAUAUUGGGCAAUGGGCGAAAGCCUGACCCAGCCACGCCGCGUGAGUGAUGAAGGCCUUCGGGUCGUAAAGCUCUGUGGGGAGGGACGAAUAAGUCGGCAGUUAACACCUGCCGGCCCUGACGGUACCUCCUUAGCAAGCACCGGCUAACCAUGUGCCAGCAGCCGCGGUAA